AAGUGGGGGACCUUCGGGCCUCACGCCCUCAGAUGUACCCAGAUGAGAUUAGCUAGUAGGUGGGGUAAUGGCUCACCUAGGCUAUGAUCUCUAGCUGGUCUGAGAGGAUGACCAGCCACACUGGAACUGAGACACGGUCUAGACUCCUACGGGAGGCAGCAGUGGGGAAUAUUGCACAAUGGGCGCAAGCCUGAUGCAGCCAUGCCGCGUGUAUGAAGAAAGCCUUCGGGUUGUAAAGUACUUUCAGCAAGAAAGAAAGUAUUUUAGUUAAUAACUAAAAUAAUUGACGUUACUUGCAAAAGAAGCACCGGCUAACUCCGUGCCAGCAGCCGCGGUAAUACGGAGGGUGCGAGCGUUAAUCGGAAUUACUGGGCUUAAAGCGUACGUAGGCGGUUAAUUAAGUUAGAUGUGAAAUCCCCGAGCUUAACUUGGGAAUUGCAUUUAAAACUGGUUAGCUAGAGUCUUGUAGAGGAGGGUAGAAUUCUAGGUGUAGCGGUGAAAUGCGUAGAUAUCUAGAGGAAUACCAGUGGCGAAGGCGGCCCCCUGGACAAAGACUGACGCUCAGGUACGAAAGCGUGGGGAGCAAACAGGAUUAGAUACCCUGGUAGUCCACGCCGUAAACGAUGUCGACUUGGAGGUUGUGCCCUUGAGGUGUGGCUUCCGGAGCUAACGCGUUAAGUCGACCGCCUGGGGAGUACGGCCGCAAGGCUAAAACUCAAAUGAAUUGACGGGGGCCCGCACAAGCGGUGGAGCAUGUGGUUUAAUUCGAUGCAACGCGAAAAACCUUACCUACUCUUGACAUUCAGAGAAUUUGCUAGAGAUAGCUUAGUGCCUUCGGGAGCUUUGAAACAGGUGCUGCAUGGCUGUCGUCAGCUCGUGUUGUGAAAUGUUGGGUUAAGUCCCGCAACGAGCGCAACCCUUGUCCUUUGUUGCCAGCACGUAAAGGUGGGAACUCAAAGGAGACUGCCGGUGAUAAGCUGGAGGAAGGUGGGGAUGACGUCAAGUCAUCAUGGCCCUUACGAGUAGGGCUACACACGUGCUACAAUGGCAUAUACAAAGAGCAGCAAACUCGCGAGAGCAAGCGAACCUCAUAAAGUAUGUCGUAGUCCGGAUUGGAGUCUGCAACUCGACUCCAUGAAGUCGGAAUCGCUAGU
rnacentral:rRNA from 1 species